rnacentral:rRNA from 1 species
AACCUCCGGGGAAAAUUUAAUUUGGGGUGUAAAAGGGGNCAAAGGGUNAGGGGCGGGUUCUAGCAAGUAAGAGGUGAAAUCCCACGGCUCAAUCGUGGAACUGCCUUUUAAACUACUAGGCUUGAGGUUGUCAGAGGGAAAUGGAAUUCUCGGUGUAAGGGUGAAAUCUGUAGAUAUCGAGAAGAACACCAGCGGCGAAGGCGAUUUCCUGGGACAAACCUGACGCUGAAUUGCGAAAGCUAGGGGAGCAAACAGAAUUAGAUACUCUGGUAGUCCUAGCCGUAAACGAUGAGCACUAGGUGUUGGUACCUUCUGGUAUCAGUGCCGCAGCUAACGCAUUAAGUGCUCCACCUGGGGACUACGGUCGUCAAGGCUAAAACUCAAAGGAAUUG